GGGCUUUUAGCACAGCGGUCUAGUGCGUACACCUCAUAAGUGUUAAGACGCGAGUUCGAAUCUCGCAUGGCCCACCA
rnacentral:tRNA from 1 species